CUCAAAGAUUAAGCCAUGCAAGUGGUUCGCAACCCGACGGUUUGAAUAAGUGUUAUAUAGUAUUAUAUAUUUAUAUACUUACGCAACUGCAGACAGCUGUUUAAUACAGUCACACUUGUCUUGACUUUGCCACACCCCAUCAUAAAAAAGAUGCAAAUAUAUAUAUUUAUAUGGAUAACUCAGGGAAAGUUUGGCUAAUACGUACGAACUUAUAUAUUAUUAUAUUGUGUUGACACUUACUGGAAUAUAUUAUAAUCUUGUGUUUGCAAACAUGAGUGACAGUAAGCAAAGCAUAUAUGUGUGUGUCUUUUCACAUACUUAUAAGCUGAGUUGACUUGCGAGGGAUUACACUUGCAAGCGAGUCAUACAAGCAUCUUAAGCAUCAAGUCAUAUGGUUGGCAAGUGUAUUAUUGAACCUUCAAAGCAGUCACGCUUACGGAAGAAAAGUUUCUGAUCCCAUAGAAGGAGCACGGUACAAUGAGAGACCGCUCUUAGUUCUAAGGAACGCAGCAGGCGCGCAAAUUGCCCAAUGCUAGUCCCCUUUUUUUAUAUAUAUAUAUUAUAUCACUUAUGAUAAUCACAUAUUAUUAUUAUUAUAUACCUUGCGUUGUCUCUCUCUCUUAUAUAUAUUAUUAUAUUUACAUUGAGGCAGUGACAAGCUGUAACAAUUAGACUUCUAAUAUAAUAUUCUUAUAGAAUGAAUUCUGUGUGGCAUUGUGCAUCUAAUGUGCAGAGCCCACUGUUCGUACUAUUGAAUGACUGAGUCAAUUGUAAUGCGGUGAGUCUAACUAAUUCAGAUAUUCGCUUGUUCCUUCUUUUGUAAAUUGAUUGAUAGGAAUGGGUAAUCUGAACUUUCAAGUGRAGGGCAAGUCUGGUGCCAGCAGCCGCGGUAAUACCAGCUCCACUGGCCUAUACAACCAUUGUUGCGGUUAAGAGGCUCGUAGUUGGAUUGAACAUAUUAAAUAAUACACAAAACAACAACAACUAACAACAAUAUAUAUAUGUAUAACAACACUGUGAACAAAUCAGAGUGUACCAAACAUGUCUUAACAUUUAGUGCAUUGAAUGAUUCAUCAUGGAAUGUUGCAAAAUAUAUAUCAUGUGUGUGUGUGUGUGUGUGUUUCGAUGGGGGUAGUUGGAGUCAAGGGUACUGCUGGGCGAGCGGUGAAAUGCGUUGACCCUAGUAAGACUACCAGGAGCGAAAGCGCUUGGCUAGGCUAUUCCCCUUGUUUUAUAUAUAUCUAUAUAUAUCACUUUAUACAAUGAAGAACGAAGGUUGGGGGUUCAAAGAGGAUUAGAUACCCUCGUCGUCCCAUUUGUUACAUCAAACGAUGGGAUCUCAAUUGAAGGAAAAAAAGUAAGGAACUAAUAAUUCCUCUUUUUUUUUUAUUAUUAUAUUAUAUAUUAAUAUAUAUAUAAUUAGAAUUGAUGUGUACCCCCCAUAUAUAUAUAUCUAUUUUCAUUUAUGAAAGUUGUGUAUGUGUGUGUGAUGUGUGUCAUAUCAUAUAUUUCUGKUGKAUUAUAUACCAUAUAUAUUAAAUAUAUCGGAAUAUGGUAUACCUUKGAUUGKGGUAUAUGGUUUNGUAUAUUUAUUUUUGUCCAUUUUGUCUGAGCUCUGAGCUUGAUAAACACAAAUGUUAAGUUUGUGGACGAGUAAUGCAAUUACCCAAUUAUAUUAUAAAGCAAUGGUUUCACAACUUUAUAGUGUGUGUGCCAUUGUGUGGGUGCAAAUUGCACGCUGUAGGCACGCGCUUACUGCAGAAAUGUGUGAGACAUUCCCCUCCGGGGGUAGUAUGCACGCAAGUGUGAAACUUGAAGGAAUUGACGGAAGGGCACCACAAGAACGCGUGGAGCAUGUGGCUUAAUUUGACUCAACGCRGGAAACCUUACCGGGUCCGGACACACUGAGGAUUGACAGGCGAAAAAAGAUGCCUUAAAAACAUCUUAUAUGUAAAAUAUGCUAGUCCUUUCAUGAUUGUGUGAUAGGUGGUGCAUGGCCGUUCUUAGUUCGUGGAGUGAUCUGUCUGCUUAAUUGCGUUUCAGAUAAAAAGAAUAUAUAUUCUAUUAUAUUAUGUGUUAUGCAUAUAUAUAUGAUACAUUAUAUAUUUCUUACUGUGUUGAAAGCAACGAACGUGACCGCAACCCAUUGUUAUCUCUUUUUAUAGAGAGACAAACUAUGGGAACCGCCAGAGUAUUUAACUCGGAGGAAGAGUGCGGCAAUAACAGGUCUGUGAUGCCCUUAGAUGUUCCGGGCUGCACACGUGCUACAAUGAUUGUUGCAGAAAGCAUCUACUUUUUAAAUAUGGCACACACUUAACGGUAUGUGUUAUAUUUACCUGCAUCGAAAGUAAAUUUAAAUUGCAGUGGUAAUCACUUCUAAGUGACAAUCUUCUUUUUGCAUAAUAUAUAUGUGUGAACAUAUGUAUUAUCUCUAUUAUAAUUCUCGGUAGGGACAGACCAUUGCAAUAUAAGUGAAAUUGUUGGUCUCGCUCUCAACUAGGAAUGCCUUGUACGGGUCUUUGGUUCAUCAAACCACCCGGAAUACGUCCCUGCCCUUUGUACACACCGCCCGUCGCUCUUACCGAUGGACUGCCCUGUGAGUUUGAGGGACUGAUCAAAAUAACCUUGUGUUCUUUUCAUUGGAAACUUAAACGAACAGUGUGGUCUAAAGGAAAGAGAAGUCGUAACAAGGCAUCGGUAGGUGAACCU
rnacentral:rRNA from 1 species